UCCAGCGUCUUAUCAUGUGUCCCGUGAUAACGGCCCUUGUAGGAGCCCCCGACUGUGUAGCAAUUGUUCGAGGAUCUAAAUGGAAUCCUGAUAAAUCAAGUAUGUGAGAAGGAUAACAGGUAGACUGUGUCUGCACUGACCUACGCUGAUAAAAUGCAGACUUAUCUUGAAUGUUUAUAUCCCCAACUGUCUCUAUACAGACAAUAGCACACCAGCUAAUACAACCCUCACUUGAACAGAAUUGAUCUAGUACUAAAUCAAUGGAUAGCUGCGAAAAUGUGAAAAAGAGAUGAAGAGAAAACCAAUGUCUGAGCCUUGAGGGCCAAGAUGCACAACAUCACACCAGACUCUUAUCUGUGGACACGUCUUUCCCCGGAGAGGACUCUACACUCCAGCAAACAGCGGGAUUCAAAGGGGAAGGUGUGAAAGGAUCAUUCCAAGUCUCAAAGGAGAGGCUUCUUUCAAUAUCCUCAAAGUAGCGGAUCCCACCCACUCAAUUGUUCUCUACAUAAUCAUAUAAAAAGAUUCAGGAAGAGUUGUUUUUUAUUGUUGUUGUGUUUUUCCUCUGCUGAACAAUGCCCUUCCGCCACAGGGUCCCCUAACAGCCUACCAGUCUGCGCUCAGCGCACCUCCACCCCUCAUCCCACCCUUGCUAUCUCGCUUUCCUCAUCUGGCCCAGGCCCACUUCCACAUCUACAUCCCAUUGUCUGAGCGAAGGCAGCACGCGCAGGGCUGGGGCCAGUCCAAACAUACUCAUCUCUCUCACUGGAUGACUGCCAGUAUUCUUUGAAAACCGUAAACUUUGUUACUUUCCAAAUCCAUUUAACAGUUGUGUUUUAGUGAUGGAACAAAGAUUACAGUCUCUGUGCUUGCUCAAGAAGGGUGUAUGUCCUCACUCACAUUGUGUCUAUUAUGUGUGUACGAAUGUGUCAUGAUGUAUGUUGCAAUUCGGGCAUACACGUGUGUCCGAGAAACCAAAUCCCAAUCCAUCAUGCAAUCCCCAAGGUGGGCGAGCCGGUGUGUGUGUGUUUGUCACUGUCCCCUGUCAGGAAAGAGGCCUGGAGCGUGUUGUCCGGACGAACCCCCUUUGGCUGAGGAAGUGCUCCUCUAUAUUGGCCUCUUUGUGGCUCGCUAAUCGAGCUUUCCUGUCAGCAGGCUGCACAGUCCCAGUGCAGGGUGCACUACGUGAUACAGACCCACUCCGGUGCUCCAAGGGAAGUUCUGGGAUCAGCAGAUAACGGCUCAGCUCCCUCAUCUAACACGCAGAAUAGUGCUGCUUCUCUCAGCCUUUCUGUCCUUGCAUGAAUAAGGAAAACACCAAUUUUAACCAUUUGAAAAAUUCCAUUAUUCAGACCUCCUGACUGCCAGAGAGUUUUCUCUCUGGAAAACCCCAUUUUUUAAACAUUUUUUUUUUUUAUGUGUGUAAACUGUGCUCUUUUUCUAAAAAUGAACAAUCACAUGUAACUGGACAUGUUACCAAGCAAGCAAAGCUUGUAAAAUUAUAUCAGCUCAAAUAUACAUCACUGUAUAUUUAGCGUCACACUGUUCUGAAUGCCAGUUUUGUAAUUAAAACAGACUAUUAUCCCUCCCUCUUGUAUUUUGUACUCCUCAGUGGGCCAUCACAGAAACUGUAGCCCUCUUUUUAAACGUAAGCGGGCUUCAGUGCUAUCUGAGAUGAGUGGUCACUAAGGACUCAUGUUCUGGUAUUCAAAACCAAUUACGAAAUAAUAAUCUUUACGUGUCACUUCUAUUUAAAAUGUUCUGGUUAUUCAAGCAUUCACUGAUGUGUCAGGGGGAUUUUUCAAGGACGCUGUAGGAUAUAGCGACUAUCUCAGUGGUGACAUAACUGAAUAUCUGAUUCUCACAGGUGUCCUCGGCAGAAUAUAUUCACUUGGUUGGUGUAAUCAGAGUGUUCUAGGAUAACUGAUAAUAACUUUAGCAUACCACCCCUCAAAGAUGGCUGCAUAAAAAGGGAAUAUAAUAUGAAUAUAAAAUGCAAAAGUUAAUGAAUUAACAACACAUUGUUUUUCCAAUGCAAGUGUACCAUCACUUACCACCAGCAUUACUGUGCAGUAGCCACCAUGGUUUUAUGCUACAUUAGAGGAUUACCUCUCAGUUAAUGGUACUCCUGACAUGAAGGUUGGGGCUCCAGCAGAUGGUAUCAUAGUCUUUUCUUGCCAUCAAAUAACUACUGUUGUUAUCUUUUGAUAAGUCAAUACAAAAAAUAAAAAUAAAGCUGUAGCAGGCACAUAAUUUAUAUAAUAAUUGGUUACUAAAGUUACUUUAUGCUAAUUUGAUGUCACCUUUUGAUACAAAAACCCAUUAUGCCAAACCUAAGACCUUCCCCAGGUCAGAAGAUGCAUGUCAAUCCAGCUUUUCACAGUAAAGUAGCAGGGACACCCCAAUAUUGCAUCUACCAGAUGUAAAGGCCAAUGAUAACGAUUGUCUUGUGCUCACUGCUGGGCAACAUAGAUCUCCAAAGUGUGAGAUGUGGUUUCCAAUAUUUGAAAAUACAGGAAUUUCAAAUGCCUUUCUGAAGACGGUGAAUUAUUAUGACUUUUACUGGUGACAUUUUCCAGCGGCAUAUGGCAGCAAGCUCAUGGGAGAGCACAGCUUUUUGAUGAAUACUCUGAGUCUGAGCGACCAAAGGACAGUGCUGGGCAUAUGUUGCCUUCUGUCUUUGCCUUGUGAAAUGGUAAUGUGGUCUCACUUAUGCAGGAUUCUUAAGACACUGAACCUCCUUUUUUUAGCAGCAAAAAAUAUCAUAGGACAAAUAUAGAGGUAUACUGGCUACAUGUGUGUUUAUAAAAAUGUAUAUUUAUGUGUGUGUGUGUGUUGCCUGCUGUUCAACUGUGUUCUCCAUUAUUGUCAGAAUUUCCCAACUGCUGAUCACAGUGAAACUUUAUAGCUGAGUAAAACUGCACAGGGCAUGGGAAACAGAUGUGUUCAUACUUAUGUGUAUUGAUAUAUAUUGUAUAUUCUUUUGGACAGCUGAGGAUCUUUGACUACAGAUUAGUCCCACAGUCCAGCACCAUUCAUUUUAAAGUGAACUAUCUUAGUGUGAAAUUCAGUUCUCUUGUGCAUUUUGAAAUUGUUCAUAACAAAAAUGCCAAAGCAGGGUUGCAGUUGGAAAAAACUAGA